rnacentral:lncRNA from 1 species
UCCUGUUCCUUAUUCAUAUUACCUACAUAAUCGCUUGUCUCUCUGAAUAUAUAUAUUAUGCUUAUUUUAAAAUCUUGAUCUGUCUGUUACGAUAGAUCUGCUUCAUGUAGUGUAAGUUGCUCAGCCUGUUAUCUUUCUAGUGGUUGACUUCUUAUGGUCCUCAGUCUUUGGGCUAUAAACUCUGGUUCCUUUAGGGGCAACAGCUACUGUACCUGGUUGUCAAUACUAACAAAGGAACUCAAAUCCCACUCCUAAAGAGGGACAGGGUAAGCUCCAAGACAUGGUGCUUCAGGUCUCACACAAUGAUAGCCCAUCACCCCAAUUUUUUGUCCUUCUAUCAGGCCACAGCUUUAGUCGGGAUCCUCCUUUAAAUGCUCUGAAAAAAACAACUUAGGGAGGAAAUAAUCUCUAUAGAUAAGUUUUUCAAUCUCUAGUGGCAACCCAUUAAUGGGUCACACAGUCAAUUUAGUGAGUCAGCCAGCAUUAAAGAGAGAAUAGCAUAGCAUAGCACAGCACAGCACAGCACAGCAUAGCAUAGCAUAGCAUAGCAUAGGUUGAAGUAGAUAGAGGGCAUCCCACCAGUAAGCACACUGUUUUAUGAAACUUUCAUGUAUAUGUACUGAGUCAUCACAUAAAAUGUACUCCUUAUUGCAAGUGAUAGUCAAAAUCAAUUUGAAGAACAGUUUUUGACUGUGAUCCACCAAUGCAGAGGGUCUGUGGAUGAGUGGGUGUAGAGGAGGUAGAGGGGUGAAUGCUCUGGGCCAGUCAGCUAGUCAAUUGAUUCUGCUUAUCAGUUCUUUACCCAGCAGGGCUUGAGCGUUGCUCUGCUCUCCCGCACCUCACACCUAUCAUCUGCUGAUGCUGCUAACUCCUUUUCCAACAUGGGACAGGUAAUUAUCCCUCAGAGGUUACGUGGGCAAGUGCAGAACUAAGAGCUUUCCCUCAACCUGUACUCCAUCCAUGCACCUGGUACCCCCUGCGCCGGGUUGGUUCCACCAUGUAUUUAGUCAACCAAAGGGUUCCCCACAGUUUCUAUUUGAGUCCUCCAGAUCCAGUCUUCCUUCUCGUUUUUGCUGUUCUUCCAGGUUGAUUGUGUGGGAGGGAGCCGGAAGCCCAGGCUUGCUUUCAUCUUUCAGAAGCAGAAGCCUUACCUGCAGUCCAGUUUGGAGCUGUGGUGGUCCUGUGCUGAGCUCCUUAGGGUCCCAUAUCCCUAGGGUCCCAUGCUUCCGGCAGCCUUCAGCUCUCUCCGCCCCACUCAGCCCUUCCCUCAGCACAUCUUCGUGCUGGGUUUCUCUCCUUUUCUCCAUGCACUGUUUUGACUUCUGCCUUUGUCCGUGACUAUUAGAAACCUCAGGCCCCAGCCAGCAGGAAAAUUUAUAGCUAAACAAUUACAUUGUUGAAACCCUGACAAGUCCACUCUGGUUAAUGGCUCUGAAAAUAUAGGAGAGGUGUGAACAACUAAAUCUAUUAGGCUCCAUAUCGUGGGCCUGCAAAGACAGACUUGUAGAACCCGGUAUUUGAUGGACAUUUCUCGUUCUUUUUCUCCUGUGUUGUUCUAAAUGCUACUCUCGCUCAACAUGGAUUCAUUACCUGGAGAAUGGCUUGGAUAUUUGGAUAAUCGUCUUCUAAAUAGUUUCUUUUUUCCCCUUUCCUCUUAUGAUAUUUUGGAACUCAACCAACAAUAAUGCAACAGGCAGGCAACCGCCCCCUUGUGCUCCUGCCUUUUUUCAUGAGAAGAAAACACCUGAUCCAAGUGCUCAUCCAGAGACGACGAGAGACAUGUGGAGGAGCUCUAAACCCAACCCACAGGUUGGA